CUUGGCAUGUAUUUCAGGAAACCGUUUAUGCUUCUGCAGAGUAAGACCAAAAGUAAAGAAUGUAAUGCACUGGGGUGUCUUGCACUUUAAAACAGAAUAUUCCCCCCCCCCCAAAAGGAGUCUUAUUUGUGUGCAGUGGAGCAUCUCAAGCCAAUGGGAUAAAGUGAAUCAGUGCAAUUAGUGUUUGGUUUGACAGAUUCUGGUUUCACAGUCUUCAUCUCCAAUGGACCUGGGACAUACCAGAGCCCCCAAAUUAGCAUCUGGGUAAGAACGCUUCUGUAACCAUUCGGUCUGUGGCA
rnacentral:lncRNA from 1 species